rnacentral:rRNA from 1 species
UUCCGUAGGUGAACCUGCGGAAGGAUCAUUACUGAGUGAGGGCCCUCUGGGUCCAACCUCCCACCCGUGUUUAUUGUACCUUGUUGCUUCGGUGCGCCCGCCUCACGGCCGCCGGGGGGCUUCUGCCCCCGGGUCCGCGCGCACCGGAGACACUAUUGAACUCUGUCUGAAGAUUGCAGUCUGAGCAUAAACUAAAUAAGUUAAAACUUUCAACAACGGAUCUCUUGGUUCCGGCAUCGAUGAAGAACGCAGCGAAAUGCGAUAACUAAUGUGAAUUGCAGAAUUCAGUGAAUCAUCGAGUCUUUGAACGCACAUUGCGCCCCCUGGUAUUCCGGGGGGCAUGCCUGUCCGAGCGUCAUUGCUGCCCUCAAGCACGGCUUGUGUGUUGGGCUCCGUCCCCCCGGGGACGGGUCCGAAAGGCAGCGGCGGCACCGAGUCCGGUCCUCGAGCGUAUGGGGCUUUGUCACCCGCUCUGUAGGCCCGGCCGGCGCCAGCCGACAACCAAUCAUCCUUUUUUCACGUUGACCUCGGAUCAGGUAGGGAUACCCGCUGAACUUAAGCAUAUCAAUAAGCGGAGGA